UCCUCUGUAGCUCAGUGGUUAUAGCACUGGUCUAGUAAACCAGGGGUCUAGAGUUCGAGUCUCUCCAGAGGCU
rfam:Nematostella vectensis strain CH2 x CH6 NEMVEscaffold_32_Cont5601, whole genome shotgun sequence.